CAACCCUAUGCGGUGGAUCACUUGGCUCGCGAGUCGAUGAAGAGCGCAGCAAACUGCGUGAAUUAAUGUGAUUUGCAGGACACAUUGAUCAUCGAUAUUUUGAACGCAUAUUGCGGUUAUGGAUCGCUUCCAUGACCACGCCUGUUUGAGGGUCGGUAUUAAUAU
rnacentral:rRNA from 1 species